rnacentral:rRNA from 1 species
ACAGCAGUCGCCGCGGGAAUACGAAGGGUGCAAGCGUUAAUCGGAAUUACUGGGCGUAAAGCGUGCGUAGGCGGCUUGGUAAGUUAGAGGUGAAAGCCUGGAGCUCAACUCCAGAAUUGCCUUUAAGACUGCCGAGCUAGCAGGUGAGAGAGGUAAGUGGAAUUCCGAGUGUAGAGGUGAAAUUCGUAGAUAUUCGGAAGAACACCAGUGGCGAAGGCGGCUUACUGGCUCAUACUGGACGCUAAGGUGCGAAAGCGUGGGGAGCAAACAGGAUUAGAUACCCCUGUAGUCCCUGUCUCUUAUAC